GACGAACGCUGGCGGCGUGCUUAACACAUGCAAGUCGAACGGUGAAGCGCCUUCCUUUUUGGUGGGUGUGGAUGAGUGGCGAACGGGUGAGUAACACGUGAGUAACCUGCCCCCUUCUUCUGGAUAACCGCAUGAAAGUGUGGCUAAUACGGGAUAUUCUGGGUCUGUCGCAUGAUGGGUCUGGGAAAGAUAUUGUUUCGGUGGGGGAUGGGCUCGCGUCCUAUCAGCUUGUUGGUGGGGUGAUGGCCUACCAAGGCGGUGACGGGUAGCCGGCCUGAGAGGGUGGACGGUAACAGUGGGACUGAGACCCAGCCCAGACUCCUACGGGCGGCAGAGGUGGGCAAUAUUGCACAAUGGGCGCAAGCAUGAUGCAGCGACGCCGCGUGAGGGAUGGAGGCCUUCGGGUUGUGAACCUCUUUCGCAAGUGAAGCAGGCCUGCCUCGUUUGUGGGUGGGUUGACGGUAGCUGGAUAAGAAGCGCCGGCUAACUACGUG
rnacentral:rRNA from 1 species